rnacentral:misc_RNA from 1 species
AAGUCGUAACAAGGUUUCCGUAGGUGAACCUGCGGAAGGAUCAUUAACAAAUCUAUGAGCGAAAGCUCAUCAACCUUUGUGAAUUGGGUUGUAUAGUUGGUAACAAAUAUACAAUUUCGUUGGGGUCCCUUUGUGUAAUAGAAAGAUUAUUUUGAAAAAUUUAAUUUUUUCUAUUGCAUAUAUAUAUUAACAUUGUCUGAUUAUAGAUUGAAGUCGUAAGAUUUCAAAUAAAAAUACAACUUUUAACAAUGGAUCUCUAGGCUCUU